rnacentral:tRNA from 1 species
GGAAUGGAGCAGUUGGUUAGCUUACCGCUUUGACUUGGCGGUGGUCACAGGUUCGAGUCCUGUAGUUUCCA